GCGAUAUUUGGAGACGGCACCAUGGACAGCGACUCGACGGUUGAAGAAUCCGACAGCUGCUUGUCGCGGAUUUACAAGAAAGCAUCCAGAACAGAGACAGUCUGUGUCCAGCCUCAGUCUAUGUCCAAGGCUGCCUCUGUUCAUCUGUGCCUUACCUGCAGCCAGCAGGUCCCAGUUUCUGCUCCAUCAGUGUCCUCUAUACUGGUACCAAACACUGCUAACAUCAUACAGCAUGAGCAUGGGGAUUCUCAUUAACUAUUGCCCAGAUAGUCCUUAAGGAAUAUCUAAAGAACGCAUCCAUCUUCGCUUGAGAGUUGACCCUUCAUCCCAACUUUAUUAAGAGAUGCCAUCUGCCCUGUGCCCUGCUCUCUGUGUCAGCGUGUGACAGGACACGACUCGUCACCGUGGACUCCCAGGGGGGUCUGACAAGCAGCCGAGACACUGGCUCUGCUCUGCUGGAGGUCAGCCAGACUCUGCUCAUCAGUGUUCAGGUGUGUCCAGAUGUGGAGUUUCUGUCCCCUCUCAGGAGGAAUCAUAUGCUCUCCACUGACCUUCUUAUUUCUCCUCUCUGAGCCUCUUUGCGGGGUCGUUCUGAACCACUGUAGCCUGAACAAUUUGCUUUCUGACCCCUGACACUGCGUUCCAGACAACUCAGAAUCUGAAAUGUCCGACCUCUAACUAGAAAAACCACAACAGAGCGCCAUUUAAGGUCAGGACUCCUACUGGUAAACUCAGCACACAUCCAUCUACCCCGACU